AGGACAAGAGGGGGAGCUUGAGGGAAAUAGAGUGACGCCAGAGUGCCUGAUGGCCUUUGUUAAAGACCAGCUGUGUCCACAGAGUCAAGGUGGCAGGCGAACCAAGUGACCUGUAGCUGAGGCAGCUUUCUUCCCUGUUGCUGUAGCACACUGUGGGACUCCGGUUAAACAUCUGUGGCUGGAAGGAGUAGUGCGCUGGGAAGAGCAGAGAGGAGAGGAGGAGACCAGGAAACAGGACGGCUGGGGGUGGGAUUAGGGACAGCAGGCACAGAUGAGAUGAGAGACAACUGUGGAGCAGUCGAGACGAUGGCUUGGUGUACAAAUCAGACCCUAUUUGUUUAACUGUACCCUCAAAACUAGUUUUUGCUUUUUUGGUGCCUCGCUAAUCAGCCAUUCUGCCCUCUCUCUCUCCAUAUAUAUAUAUAUAUUUUGGUUCACCACAGUACAUUCUUCAGUAUUGUUUCACCUGGCACACUGGAUCCUGAGACAGGGACUAAGACAAGGAUCGGACUGUUUCUAUAAUACAAACUUUUAUUUCUGCUCCUUUAAAGCAAUAUUCAUAAACUACAGUGUGUCUUAAACAUAACGAUGAAUGAGGCUGUGCUGAAAAUGU
ensembl:lncRNA